GUAACUAAUCACUUUUAAGUUUGCCUCUCAUUCUAGAACAAGGCUUUUACUGUUUCGAGGGAACUUGUGUGAGACUGAACAUGCAGUGCAGUGAGCAUGGAAAGGAAUUCGAACAUACUCAGGUAUUACCAUGCCACAGUCAUUAUGUCAGCAACUUCAUGAGGAUUUGAUUUACUGAAGAUGUGCUCCUAUGUUGACAAUUUGAGAAAAACCCAAUGCUUAAAUUUGAUCACAUUCAAAACUGCAGGACACUGACAUCUACCCUGGAUAGCGCUUAUUGAACUAGGCUGCCACCUGAAGUGUUAUUGGGCUCUGACUAAUGAAGAUGUGGCACUGGACAUGCAUUUACCAAGGGAAGAGUGGAGGAAAGUAAAGCUGUGUGUAUACACCUGUGCUCUCUCCAGCAUCAAGAAAAUGAUCUAUAUCUCAUCCUGCUUGAAAACCAUUCUACCAGCUGUAAUUACAUGUCACCUUUCUGAAGAUAUCAUAAAUUACUUUUAAUUAAAGCCGGUAUUUUGAUACAGCUCUGCCAUCUCUUCUGGAAAUAGUUUUAAACUUCUUCUAUGCUACCGCCAGUUUUCUACAAUACAGCUUUAGGAGGAGGAAUUUGCCCUGCACUGUUCAAUAGCAACAGGUCUUAAGAGUAUUAAGGAUGAAAUUCUCAAGGGUCUUUAUGUCAUGGAUGGAAAUGGAAUCAUUACUGUAUUUUUGAACGCCUGCUAACGUCAUUGACACCCACCUACAGUCCACUAGAAAUAUAAGUGCAGAGAUCAGUUCAUUCACAGAUCACAAGGAGACUAACCAAGAAGGGGCAAGCCAGAGCUAAAUUCACUGGUAGUCCACUCAUCUCUUCGACAUGUGGAAAGUGGUGCUCCUGGGACUAUAUACAAUGUUGGCUGUCAGAGGAUUGGCAAAGGGUGCUCCUUUCGAACCAGAAGAAAAAUGGAAACCUCUAGAUAAUCCUAGAAACAGAGACUUGUUUUUCAGAACGCUCCAGGCGUACUUUUCGGGCCGGGGUCUCGAUCUCAGAAAUUUCCCAGCUACUUUCACUGUGAACAAUGAAGGACCAAGGCCGGUCACGUUGUACUCAGAUCCCAUUGCUUCUGCGUUUGCAGAUUAUGAGGAAAGGAAAAAUUCUUUUCCAAAUGACUUCAGAGGCUAAAAGAUGCUGCUGACCAAGGUAAAAGAGGAUGCUUUUUCAUGUAAGCCAGUGAAAUCUGUGGAUUUCAAGCAAUUCUCAAUUGCAUCUGAAGUAUAAAAACAACUUGUUCUUCGGACAAAAUAAAGUAUGACACCUUAAC
rnacentral:lncRNA from 7 species